GUGCUCGCUUUUGUAGCACAUCUACUAAAAUUGGAACGAUACGGGGAUUGGCAUGGCCCCUGCACAAGGAUGGCGCGCAAAUUUGGGCAGCGUUCCAUAUACGC
ensembl:snRNA U6 U6 spliceosomal RNA